UACGUAGGGGGCAAGCGUUGUCCGGAAUCAUUGGGCGUAAAGCGCGUGUAGGCGGUUCGAUAAGUCUGCUGUGAAAGUCCAGGGCUCAACCCUGGAAAGCCGGUGGAUACUGUCGGACUAGAGUGCGGAAGAGGCGAGUGGAAUUCCCGGUGUAGCGGUGAAAUGCGCAGAUAUCGGGAGGAACACCAGUGGCGAAGGCGACUACCUGGCCUGUUCUUGACGCUGAGGCGCGAAAGCUAGGGGAGCAAACGGG
rnacentral:rRNA from 1 species